GCCGACGGUUCGCUUGAUUACCCGGACGACAUCCUGAGCCGCUUCGACUUCAUCGUAGCCAGCGUGCACAGCCGCUUUCGGCUCGAUGCCGCGGCCCAGACCGCCCGGAUCAUCCGGGCGGUCGCGAACCCGUACACGACCAUCCUCGGCCACAUGACGGGUCGUCUCCUUCUGCGCCGGCCGGGAUAUGAGAUCGACAUCGACGCCAUCCUUCAAGCCUGCGCGGAGCACGGCGUGGCAGUCGAGGUGAACGCCAACCCUCACCGGCUCGAUCUCGACUGGCGCUGGCUGGAGCGGGCGGUGGAGCUUGGAUGCAUGAUCAGCAUCAACCCGGA
rnacentral:misc_RNA from 1 species